GUCUAGGGCUGUGCCACCCUGAAGGCACCUGAUCUCUUCUGGUCUUGGAAGCUCAGAAGGACUGGGCCUGGUUAGUACUUAGAUGAGAAACAACACCCAUGAGCUGCAGGGCCCCAGGGCU
rnacentral:rRNA from 1 species